UGAUAAUUGUUGAACACUUUUGUGUUUAAGGAUGUACUUAGUUGAGGUUAGGUUAAAAUUAAUAAAUUAAGAAGUUAAAAUUUAUACUUUAAGCUGGUAGAGCAUCACUUAAGGAUAAAAAUAAGCUAAAAAUAUUGAUAGGUCAUGGACCUCCUUUACGAGAUAUUUGAGAUUUAAGAUGUGGCGGGAAAAGACUGACUCGGACUUUUACCUUACAUUUGCAUUGGUAUUAUUUGGUCUCAAAACAAAAGAAAGAAAUUAAGAAUCUUCUUAAAUUUUGUUAAAUGACCUUUCACUAGGUAUUAAAUCUUAUAUGAAAAAAUAAAUGGGUGUUAUGGUGCAAAAUAUUUUACAUUGUGUAUUAUGGAUAAACACCCAGGAGUCCGAACAUUUGACACAAAUUCCAAACCCUCACCUAAGUACACCCUUAAUUGAUAUGUUGGAACAAAUAAUUUAGUAAACAUUCAGGAGGUGAUUCUGUAAAUAAUAUUUAUCCUUUAAACUCAUUAACUGUGAAAUAGAAAAUCGAUUAUUUCUUACCAAUUUGAUUACAAAAUAUUUUGUAUUUGAUGUUUUAUAAAGAAAUAGUCUCAAUACUCAGGCCUGGUGUCUUUAAACGUAUCUUUCCAUUUUAAGCAUGACUUGUAGCAAUGACAACAUUAUGUAAACUCAUUGUUAGGUAAUGAUGUAUAUUAUGGUAUCAUGGAUAUUUCUUUCUAAGUUUGGUAAAUGAAUUUUCAUAAGCUACUGCAGCCUUAUAUGAUUUAAAAAAUGGGAUUAUGGAGCAAAAUAGUUUACCCUGUAACGCAGGGAAAAUACCAAGGAAUCCGAAGGUCUGACACAAAUUUCAAAACAUGACCCAAGUCCAUCUUUAAAAAAGAAAAGUUUGGAAAUUUUACAGAAAUAACUUUUUUACAUAAGAAAUAAUUUUUCACCCUGAUGUAAUUUCGGACAUGCAGUAAAAAAUAGUAUAAUUUAUUCAAAACUGUCAUUUUAGAUUUAGAGUAUUUUAUCAAAUGGAGCUUUUCAACAUACAUUUUCUGAAUAUAUUACAUUGAGCAACUGUCUUCUGGUCAUUCAAUUAUUGUAAAUGGAAUUCUUAAACAUUGGCCAAUUGAGACAGUUUUUGCAAAUUCACCAAUAAGGCUCAAAUGAAUCUGUAAUAGUACACCAGUGUCUAUACAAAUGUUUAUUUUGCAGAGUUAAAAUAAAAAUCAUAAUGUUGUGGGAUAUUUGAAUUCAAGGGAGAAAAAGAAUGAUGGAAAACGAAAUAUCAUAUUUUCUUCUCUUUUGAACGUUUAAUUUCCCAUUAGAUUUUUAUAUUAUAUAGGAUUAUAUUAGAUAUCAAAUGCAAAUUAUGAAUGAAUUUAAAUAGUUUUGUGAUUAGAAUGGAAUAAAGCAUAGCAGUAUCAUGUUGAGAUCCAAAAAACAUUAAUGUAAUAUAUAUUUUAUUGCUGUUAAAAUUGUAUAACUGUUUGGUAAUGAUUAGCUUCAAUAAAUAAAACAUGAUAA
rnacentral:lncRNA from 1 species